GUUUUUAUAGUUUAACAAAAAACUUUGGUCUUGUAAAUCAAAAAUAAGAUUUUUUCUUUAAAAACU
rnacentral:tRNA from 1 species